rnacentral:rRNA from 1 species
GACGAACGCUGGCGGCGUGGAUUAGGCAUGCAAGUCGAACGGUAUCAUCCUUUCGGGGGUGAGAGAGUGGCGAACUGGUGAGUAACACGUAGGUUAUCUACCCUCAAGACGGGGACAACCCAGGGAAACUUGGGCUAAUACCGGAUGUGAGCAACUUUUAGUUGUUUGAAAGGUGGCGUAAGCUGUCGCUUGGGGAUGAGCCUGCGUCCUACUAGUUAGUUGGUGAGGUAACGGCUCACCUAGGCAAUGAUAGGUAGGCGGCCUUAACGGGUGGUCGCCCACACUGGGAUUGAGAUACGGCCCAGACUCCUACGGGAGGCAGCAGUCGAGAAUAGUCUACAAUGGUCGGAAGACUGAUAGUGCGACGCCGCGUGAACGAUGAAUCCCUUCGGGGUGUAAAGUUCUUUUAUAUGUGAGCAGUGCUUCUUAUAUUAACAGUAUGGGGAGAGAGAUAUUAGCAUAUGAAUAAGCAACGGCUAACUCCGUGCCAGCAGCCGCGGUAAUCU